CAGGGAUAGUAAGUAAAUCCUGGAGC
rnacentral:piRNA from 1 species